UGGCAUCUCUUUUCCUGCACCUUGAACCCAUGACUCCGUGUCCCAGUCUGCGAGGCAGCAGAAAACAUGGGUGGGUUGCAUCUGCCUCGUUUUGAUGUGUGGCUGUUUGUUGUCCUGCAGGGCUCCUCCACCACAAAGGUGACAGAGUCAAUUUCUCCACGCGGUUUGGACAAGGCUCCAUUAUCGGGGUGCAUCUGGAUACCUGGCACGGGACUCUGACUUUCUUCAAAAACAGGAAGUGCAUUGGAGUUGCUGCCACAAAGCUACAGGACAAGGGAUUCUACCCCAUGGUGUGUUCUACGGCUGCCAAGAGCAGCAUGAAAGUGAUCCGGUCCUGUGCCAGCCACACCUCCUUGCAGUACCUGUGCUGCCACCGCCUCCGCCAGCUGCUCCCAGAUUCCACAGACACACUCGAGGCCUAGCCUCUCCCUCCGGGACUGAAGCAAGUCCUGCAGAACAAACUGGGUUGGGUGCUGAACAUGAACUGUGGCUUGGCGUCUCCCUCUUCCUCCCCCUGGCCGAGUAGCGAGUCAGAGAGCUCGUGCGGUUCAGAAGCUGAGGUGUGCCGGCACAAGCGAUGCCGGAGGACGUAGGUGCCGGGUUCCCGAAAGACCUGCCGGGCAAAGGAUCUGCCUUCAGGCCAGUCGAAGCUGGCAUUUCUCCGGAAAAGGGCCAGGGUUUCAGAGUGAAGCGUCUGGGUGCCCUUUUGGUGAAGUGGACGACCAAGCCCUGUCCCGUCUGGGAAGAAACAUGGGACUCUUGCCGGCCAGGGUAUUGGACUGCCAUCAGCCACGGAGGAUGCGUGCCAUUGGGGUGGAGGGAAGGAAUCUUGAAGGCGUGAGAGACCAAGGAGACCUGUGUGACCUUUGUGAACAUGUCUCCAGGGCGUUGACACUGAGCUGUCCACACUGUCGCUGCUCAGUGAAGUGUCCAGUGAAAGCAAUCUCUCACGAGUUGUCUUGACUGUGGAAGUUGUACCUUGCAUGCAUGUAACCGCUGUGUCUCUUGUGUUAACCUGUAUGACACAGAGACCACUCAGCCUCUGAUUAAAGCUGACAGUGUGCAGGCCGUGUUCAGGGGUGUUAUUCCUCCGCCGGGGUGGGUGGUGGAAAGGGGAGCAGUUGUCUCCAGACUUCGUGCUGAGGGCACCUGUGAAGGAGGUGGGGGUGGUGUUUACCCUCCUGAGCGCUGAAGAAAUGGUAAGAAGGGGAGGGGGCGUAAAUCCAAAUUCUGCUAUUCCUCUGAUGUUGCAGUCGCAGUGUGGCGUACUGAAAGAAUGGCCAGUGGGCAUUAUUAUUAUUAUUUAUUAAAUGUAAUAGACCACCCGACCCCCGAAAGGCUCAGGGGCAGCGUGCAAUAAACCAACAAGGAGACGGUGGUACAACGUAAUAUAAGCAAUGUAAAUCUGAAGGUGCGCUGGAGGAGCCAAUUUCCCCCGUGAGGUGCCCGCCCUUGUGGAGGGUGGUUUGUGGCCCUGUCAAAUGUGAGGAGGGAGGUGGUUUGGGGGAUGAUGCCCUGCUGGAUGCCCUCGUGCCAGGGAGGGGAAUGGGAUCAGGUGGGCCCAGGAGGGCUGACCUGUUGUUGACCCCGCAGUGUCGAAUCAGGGAGAGGAGGCGGUCUGGUGACUCCCGCAGCUGUUGGGGAUCCUGCAGAUGUCACUUGAGGGUCGUGUGCAAUAAGCGGCCGGGCCCGCAGUUGUCUCGGGGGCGGCCCAGGCAGCCGGUUCCUGCGGCGAGUCGUCCGGGCCGAGGCAGGGGAGCGGCGGCGGCAAGGAGCGGGGCCUGAGUCGACGGGCGGCGCCUGGUGGCUGUGCUGCGGGAGAGGCCGGAGGGCUGGUUCCUCAAUGGUGGGAGAAUCCCGGAUGUUCCUCUGGAACAGGGGUCAGCAACCUUUACCACCCAAAGAGCCAUUUGGACCCGUUUUCCACAGCCCGAAGAUCUACCGAGGCGGGAGGCGGCUUCCUCCAGUUUGCCCCUCCCUCACCUUUCCUGGAGGAGACACCCAGUUUGGCCCCUCCGACCUCCAGGCCACGGGAGACCACUGAGUAUAGGGUGAAAGCCGCAUGCGGCUCCAGAGCUGCGGGUUGCAGACCUCUGCUCUAGAAGGCCUCCUUAGUCAGUCGGCUGCUGACUGAGCGUGUCUGACAUCUGAGAUCUGACAUCUGAGCGUGUCUGACAAGGUGAAUGAAGGUGUGCCUCUUGCUCAGGUGUGGGUGAGGGGGAACAUCUUGUGGCAGUGAUUGUGGGAUGUGUAGAGAUAUGACUCGGCAGUUGCAUGUGCUCAAGUUAGAAGGCUCUGGGUUGUGAUAUGGUCCUUGGGGUGAAAGCAAACGGGGGAUGUUGUGUAAGAGGAACUGGAGAAGGAUAUGUUGGUGGGGGUGCAAAAUUUAACUAUAAAUUGCCUCUAAGAGUUAUAUUUGUUGAGCUUCUAUUUUCAUACAAUAAGUUUACUUCAUAUAUGUAUUAUUAAUCUUUAGUUUAACAUAGUCACAUCGCAAAAUUAAUACAUAUAUUCAACUAUAUUUGUUAUUCCAGCAUGUUUAAAUUAUAAUUAAUUUAAUUAAUUUAAUUAGUGGAGAUUUGAACCAAAACGGUAAAUUUUGAUUUCAGUAUUUCCUUUACACUUUACUGUUUUUAAUUAUAUCUUUGUUUCAAAUUUUUUUACAGUAUUGAUUAAAUGGUUCCCACAUCAUUUCAAAUCUUCUUUUUUGGCAGAUCCUUCUGAUAUGUCGAUAUUCUGUCCGUGGUUCUAGUCUUCCAAUAAACUGAUCCAGUCCUUGCAA